GAUAAAAAUAGAUACUUAGUAAAGACAUUGGAUAGAGAUCAUAUUUCUAAGGACUUUAGAAAGAAAAAACUCUACUUCAUCAAGUAUAAGAAAAUAAAUGAAAUUGAUGUGGUUGUAUUUGUUGAGUUUUUACAUAAUUAAGUUAAAUUUGAUAUUUGACAUCAACGCCUUGAUCAUUUGAAUGCCAAGAGUAUAAAAGAAUUUCAAUCUAUAGUAAGUAGCUUGGAUCUUAGUCAAUUCAACUACAAUACUAUAAUAUGUACUUCUGAAGGUUGUAUCCAAGGCAAAUAAUAAAAGGCCUCAUUUCUAAGUAGACUUAUAAAAUGUAUAAGUAAAUUAUUAGAGAUUGUACAUUUGAAUGUUUGUGGACCAAUGAAAAUACUAUCAAUUGGAAG
rnacentral:lncRNA from 1 species